UACGUAGGUGGCAAGCGUUAUCCGGAUUUAUUGGGCGUAAAGGGAACGCAGGCGGUCUUUUAAGUCUGAUGUGAAAGCCUUCGGCUUAACCGGAGUAGUGCAUUGGAAACUGGAGACUUGAGUGCAGAAGAGGAGAGUGGAACUCCAUGUGUAGCGGUGAAAUGCGUAGAUAUAUGGAAGAACACCAGUGGCGAAAGCGGCUCUCUGGUCUGUAACUGACGCUGAGGUUCGAAAGCGUGGGUAGCAAACAGG
rnacentral:rRNA from 1 species